UGGGGAAUAUUGGACAAUGGGGGGAACCCUGAUCCAGCCAUGCCGCGUGUGUGAAGAAGGCCUUAUGGUUGUAAAGCACUUUAAGCGAGGAGGAGGGUACUGGUAUUAAUACUACCAGGUACUGGACGUUACUCGCAGAAUAAGCACCGGCUAACUCUGUGCCAGCAGCCGCGGUAAUACAGAGGGUGCGAGCGUUAAUCGGAUUUACUGGGCGUAAAGCGUGCGUAGGCGGCUAAUUGAGUCGGAUGUGAAAUCCCCGAGCUUAACUUGGGAAUUGCAUUCGAUACUGGUUAGCUAGAGUGUGGGAGAGGAUGGUAGAAUUCCAGGUGUAGCGGUGAAAUGCGUUGAGAUCUGGAGGAAUACCGAUGGCGAAGGCAGCCAUCUGGCCUAACACUGACGCUGAGGUACGAAAGCAUGGGGAGCAAACAGG
rnacentral:rRNA from 1 species